rnacentral:rRNA from 1 species
UACGUAGGGGGCAAGCGUUGUCCGGAAUUAUUGGGCGUAAAGAGCGUGUAGGCGGUUCAGUAAGUCUGCUGUGAAAGUCCAAGGCUCAACCUUGGGAUGCCGGUGGAUACUGCUGAGCUAGAGUACGGAAGAGGCGAGUGGAAUUCCCGGUGUAGCGGUGAAAUGCGCAGAUAUCGGGAGGAACACCUAUUGCGAAGGCAGCUCGCUGGGACGUCACUGACGCUGAGACGCGAAAGCGUGGGGAGCAAACAGG